UACCAGUUAAUUCUAAUGUUAAUACAAAAUUGAAAGUAAACUGAAAGGGGAAUUUAGGGUUACGUGUUGUGGCUCUUGGAAUUUCUCUGAAGCUUCCUCCUCCCUUCCUUCAAUCGUGAGCGGCGCCGGUGAGACGCAACUUCACCUUUUUCGAUCAAGAUCUCAAAUCGCGCUGUGAGAACGGGACAACUUCGUCCCUCAUCCUCCCUUGUCCAAUUGCCUCAGUGCUCUCUCGAACUCAGCACACUCUCAAACUCCCUCACCUCCUCUCGAUUCAAAAUCGCGGCGAUCACCACCGCAAACAUCUCUUCGCUCAAAUCGUCUCCCUCAGAAUCUCAUCUCUCAGUUAUCUCCUGUCGGAGAAGUUUCGGUGACUCUUCCGAGGUGACGCAGAUGAAUAAAACUUCAGAAAGUAUCAACGUGAAAUCCUGGUGAAGGUAUACCAAAAGUGAUGAUCAAAGCGGUGGAAUUGUCCUUAAAGAUUAAUGAAGAUGCGCAGAGUUUGGCAAGAUGAUGAACAGCGAUGGUGAUGAUUAUUGUGGAUAAAGGUCGAUAUGGUUUAUGGUGAUUUUCUGGUUUUCUUUUGGAGGAUUUGUGGAAGGUUGUUAGAGAUGAAGAUGAAUUGAAGAAUUGUUUCCAGAGAUGAAGAUUCAAGAGGUUUUGCUGUUAGGUCGUGAAGAUUGAAAGGAGCGAUUGAAGAUGAUGAAACUGAUGAUUGAAACGUUGAGAAGAAGAUCCAGAAAGAGAAAUUUCUGUUGAAGAGUUUGUUCCAUUUUCUCUGGUGAUUCUGUUAUGAAUUCUCCUUUUGUGAAUGAUUGAAUUGGUGUUUGAGGUUUCUUGUGAAGCUUUUCUGAGUUUUUUCUAUUGUGACUCUCAUUCUGAUAUCGAUUUUUCUCUGCUGAUUUUUUGUUGUGAAGAGUUUUUGUGAACCGGGUUUUUUUUCACAUAUCUCUACUUGCAGGUUUGGUUUUGGUGAAGUUGUUGCCUUGCAGUUUGGUUCAGAGGCUUGAGUGUGCUGCGGAUUUGUUUCAGUUUUGAUGCAGGAAUUUUUUCUAUGUGAUGUUAUUUUGUAUAUUGUAAUGGAUAGUAUAUUUUGUAAUGAACAUGAACUUUUGUAUAAUAUGGAUAUGGAUAUUGAAUAUUUGGAACUUAUUUCUUUGAUAAA